CAGCACUUUUGAAACAAGAUUCAGUUGUGUUUUCAUUUCCUUUUAUUUCAUUUGGACUUUGUUUGAAGUCAUGAGGGAGUGAAAUAUGCCAGCUGCACUCUUCUGCACGUGUUUUAUAUACAGAAGCUUCAGAAGCGCUUCUAGAGUUUCAGAGAUUCAACUGAUAUAUAAAUUGGGAGAGGAGGGGCAGGCUCUGGGAGGCAAGUACAGAGAGCACAGGAUGGAAGAACAAUUUGGCAGAAAGGCAGAAGCUGUACCAUGUGCUAGUCACUGAACAUCACAAUCUGAACCAGAAAACAUAAGCCAACUGUGUAUGUGUAGUGGUACAUAUAUUUUAUGUAUAUAGGUUUGGGAUUGUUAAAUGAAAGAAAUUAUUGCAUGAUGGUUGCGCUGAGUUUCAGCUGCAUGUCUUUUAAUUCUAGCGUUUCAGGGAUGUGUCUUACUUGUCUCCAAACCCGAAUUGAUGCAGGAAGUCCUCUGCCAGAAAUUAUUCCAGUUUUGAUAUUUCAAAUUCCAGCAAUAUACCGCUUGGAAAUGUAUCCUGCCAAAGGCAUUUACAUGUUAUUGCCAUUGUCCAUCACAUUCUGUGUCUGUAUGAUCUGUAUUUGUUAGUGAAUUUAAUAUGUAUCCCUUAUGUUACUUCAUAGCCUUGGGAAUCUCAGUCUUUCUGCAGUAAUUUUCCUCAUGAGGUUGUCUGUGCAGAUUCUUGGGGCCAGUCCUUGCUGGUUUCUACAGAUGCUGGCAUCUUGUUAACAGAUGGUUGGUAAAUGAUCUCGUGUUCUUGUGUAUCUGACCAUUUUCCUGAGAAUGUUUGUUUAUGUACCUGACCAUUUUCUUCCGUCAGCGCCUCCCUGCUCUCGUCUCCUGAAUCUCCAGCAGAGGAGUUCCAGUCCAUCCGGGUACGUGUCAUCCAGUUCCUGGUGAUCUGAACACACCGAGCAGCACUCAGCUGCUGUGGGGGGCUCAGGGAAGGCAGAGUGUGCGUUCUCAUCUUCCUGAACCUACAGACAAAGCAAAGUGAGAAGCCACAGGGUGGAAAUCAGUCGCAUAGAUGCUAAAUAAAACUUGCAGAUGUUUUUAAGAAUUGUUUCUGCUUGUUCUUUGUUGUGCUUCUGUGCUUAGAAAACAUCCCUUUAAAAUCAGUUCAAUUCACCAGUUGAAAGUUUUUUUGCAGACCCUCCCUGAGCAGAAUUUGUUGCAGACUCGGUGCACGCUGUGCUGGCCUCCUAGGAGUGUGAGGAGCUCGUGUGUGCUACUUUCUGCUUUAGGACACUCUGAGGUAUUUGUUCCUUUUGGGAUACAGGAUGAGAAUUCCCAAGAGAGGUAGUUAUAAGGUAUGACCUUGGGAAAAAGCCUGUGUCGUUGGAAUGUUGUUGUUGUCAAAAGUUAAUUUUUUCUUAGCCAGUAGUUAGCUUUUUGCUUGAUUUUUGUGGUAUCAAUAUUUUAUUAUUUUUAAAAAUGGCUUCAAAAUAACUUCAGUGGAUGGCCACCAGUACCUUGUUCAGAUUUGCCUACUUGCUUGUAGCUAAAAUGUUUACAUAUUGUUGAUCAUUGUAUUGAAGAAACUGCUGCCCAGUCAGCUAAUAACUGAAUAUCUCUGUCUAGGACGUAGGGAGAGGAUUUAGGCAAUGUCUUUGUUUUCAGAAAAAAGUUCCACUGUGGUUUCUAAGUAGAGGAAAAGGGGGUGAAGACUCGGGGCUCGGAUGCCACUGGGGGCACCCCAAGGUCCCCCAGGAGAGGGAGCCCCACUGCGGGGCAGGAGCAGAUAAAGAUAUUUAGAAAAACACAACCGAACGCCGCCGCCUUCGGCCGAAUGGAACGAGCUCAGCCGAGCCAAGGCGAGCGCAGCCGAACCUGACGGCCUCGAGCGAACCGAGGCGAGGCUUACGAGGCUGCCUGAAGCGAGCCGAGCUCAGCCGAACCGAGCCUGCUGCUGUGGUGCGCGCUAAUUAGCGCGAGUGCGGUCACAGCCUAAUGAGCUCCUGUCCCCGCCCGCGCUCCCGGUCGUGUCCGUGCGAUGGCCGGGCCGCCCGCGGGACGCGGCAGCAGGAGAGCCCCGAGCUGGGCGAGUUUAACGUGAGGCGGCGCCGCUUGCCCGCCCUCAGGGAGCCGAGCCGCGCCGCGGAGAACGCACCGAGCGGCUCCGAGUGUCUCCGCAGCGAGCCGAGGCGCGCCGACCACGCAGAGCGGCUCCGAGUGUCUCCGAAGCGAGCCGAGGCGCGCCGAACACACCGAGCGGCUCCGAGUGUCUCCGAAGCGAGCCGAGGCGCGCCGAACACAUCGAGUGUCUCCGAAGUGAGCCGAGGCGCGCCGAACGCGCCGAGCGGCUCCGAGUGUCUCCGAAGCGAGCCGAGGCGCGCCGAAGAGGCGAAUGCAGCCGACAAUAGCCGAGUUUAGGCGCUAAUAGCUGAAUCUAGCCAACAGCCGACUCUAGCCGAGUGUCUCCGGAGCGAGCCGAGUUCGGCCGAGCGCAGCAUCCCGGGCAGGGCGAGGCGCCGGGCCGGGCUCGGGCUGCAGCCGGGGCUCUGAACGCAGGAAACUCCGACUAGAGAUGGGUAGCAGUUUUGAAGAUAUUGCCGUAACGUUUUUAUCUAGGAAUGGACCAAGCUGUGCCCUGAAACCAUCAGAAGCGCUGCAGGGGCUGAAGGCAAUAGAAAGGGCUGUCUGGCACCUUUUGCCUCCGUUCUCUGCCAGUCCCCAAAUCGUGUCGCAGCCCCGGAAGAGGCGCUUGUCAUCCCGAGGGCCAAAACAAAGACCUGUAAAAUCCCA